rnacentral:rRNA from 1 species
GAUGAACGCUGGCGGCGUGCCUAAUACAUGCAAGUCGAGCGAACAGAUGAGGAGCUUGCUCCUCUGACGUUAGCGGCGGACGGGUGAGUAACACGUGGAUAACCUACCUAUAAGACUGGGAUAACUUCGGGAAACCGGAGCUAAUACCGGAUAAUAUAUUGAACCGCAUGGUUCAAUAGUGAAAGACGGUUUUGCUGUCACUUAUAGAUGGAUCCGCGCCGCAUUAGCUAGUUGGUAAGGUAACGGCUUACCAAGGCAACGAUGCGUAGCCGACCUGAGAGGGUGAUCGGCCACACUGGAACUGAGACACGGUCCAGACUCCUAAGGGAGGCAGCAGUAGGGAAUCUUCCGCAAUGGGCGAAAGCCUGACGGAGCAACGCCGCGUGAGUGAUGAAGGUCUUCGGAUCGUAAAACUCUGUUAUUAGGGAAGAACAAAUGUGUAAGUAACUAUGCACGUCUUGACGGUACCUAAUCAGAAAGCCACGGCUAACUAUGUG